AAGUCUUGCUAUAGACAUACAUUAAUCAAGACAGUGGACAGUGGGACACAAGAAGGAGGGGUAGUGUUCUCUCCUGACCAUGAAGCAGCUCUAGGUGUUAGUUUCUGCAACUGCCUUUUGCCAUUGAUGAUCAUUCUUCUCUCUUCCUUUGGGCCAGUAAGAGGGAGAGGAUGCAGUCUGAGUGGU
ensembl:snoRNA U3 Small nucleolar RNA U3